rnacentral:misc_RNA from 1 species
GCAAAGAAAAAGGACUAAUGAUACCUCACUUUAGUGCUGAACCAGUUUGGAUAUUUUUUAAAGAAUGAUAAUAGGAAUAUAAUGAAAACAAUGAGGAGAAUGCCAAGGGGAAAAUAUAAAUGUACCGAUUUUGCUGCAAGUAUCAUUCAAGAUGACAACUCAACCAAGCGCUUAUCCCAAAAAUUCAAGAUGACAACAUAAAGGUAAAAAUAUCUGCCACUACAAAUUUCAUUAACCUUAUCUACAAAAAUAUCAAUAUGAAACUCAAGAUUAUUUAGAACAUAAUACAAUCCAAAUUGAGAGAAAGUAUGAUCACCUGCAUGUUAUGAAACAGACAAAAAUGAUGAAGAAUUUCCAUGUUAACUAGAGCAACCCCUUAAAAAUUAAAUGCAAGAUUAUGAUGUCUUUCAACUAAUUGCUGGAUUUGGAAACAACUAGUAACUAAUAUGCAUUCUGAUGUUUAUAUUGAAAAAUAUGAUAAUGAUAAUAACCAGUAAUAUAUGCAAUUAUUUCAUUUUGAAAAAACUAUGUGAUACAGAAAAAAUUGAAUAUUUUUCCAAUAAAAUAACAUUUUGAAGGAGAAUUUUUAAAAUAAAGUCAAUAGAAAGAUUGGAUUACACUAGAAAUGCAUGCAAAGGAGAAUUCAAAAAUUCAUCAGAAAAAUCCAACUGGACAACCUUACAAACAAAUACUAAUUCGAAUAAAACAAGAUCCAGCUCCUAAGUCACUAUUUUGUA